rnacentral:rRNA from 1 species
GCACCUCGAUGUCGGCUCAUCACAUCCUGGGGCUGAAGUAGGUCCCAAGGGUAUGGCUGUUCGCCAUUUAAAGUGGUACGCGAGCUGGGUUUAGAACGUCGUGAGACAGUUCGGUCCCUAUCUGCCGUGGGCGCUGGAGAACUGAGGGGGGCUGCUCCUAGUACGAGAGGACCGGAGUGGACGCAUCACUGGUGUUCGGGUUGUCAUGCCAAUGGCACUGCCCGGUAGCUAAAUGCGGAAGAGAUAAGUGCUGAAAGCAUCUAAGCACGAAACUUGCCCCGAGAUGAGUUCUCCCUGACCCUUUAAGGGUCCUGAAGGAACGUUGAAGACGACGACGUUGAUAGGCCGGGUGUGUAAGCGCAGCGAUGCGUUGAGCUAACCGGUACUAAUGAACCGUGAGGCUUAACCUU